CGAGCGGUGGACGAGGCUUGCCCGGCGUUCGUGCGCCUUGGGCCAGUCCGGGCGCCCGGGGGUUCGGAGGAGGCAGCUGAGGCCGGAACCUGGCUCCGCACUGACGGGGCCCUUGAAUGCAGCAGCAGUGGCCGCCGCAGCACCCUGGCCCCCAGGAGAGAGGAGGGCUCCACUUGGGGGCAGCAGCAGGACAGGGUGGAAGGCCGGCUUGCCUCUCGUUCCCGUGGCCAGUCUCCUUCCUGUGGCGUCUGCAAAUGUAUUAACUUUCAGGCCUGAGCAUUGGGACAGGACCUGCUGGCACUCAGGAAUUGCAAUCCCAGAAAAGUCCGAAAUUCAAGUGAGCCGAAUACAAGCCGAAAAUUCAGCUGUCAACUGCAGCACUAGUCGAAGCAAAGGCAAGUCCAGAGUGAGGAGGAAGAAUUUUGGUCUGUAUGGAAACAAUCAGAUUCCUUUCUUCCCUUGAGAGUGGAUGCAUAAUUAAAAAUAGGAAGUAAUUACUUCCCUUCUGUAUUUGAAAGAAAACUGAACAAGGAAAAGGCAGCUGGAAGAAUUAAACCACAGGUGAAGGCAACUUUGCAACUUGGGAGAUUGUCACUCGUCUAAAGAUAAGAAUUAUAUUUGUCAUUUUAUCCGCUGUCUGAUAUGAAUGGAG